CAAAAAAAUAUUAUGGUAAUGACAAAAGUAACUUACUUUCGAAUUAAUAAGUGGUUAAAAUUUGCUACAUUAAAAGUGUUUUUCUUGUUUUGAAAAUGAAAACUUUUACUGCUACAGUUUUUGAAAAUCUCAUUGCUAACUUAUUUAAAAGUUUUGACUUUUGAUUCGACUGUAUAAUUUCUUUCAUUUUGUCGUUCUCUUGAAACCGUGUACGUCUAAGUCCAAAAUGUAAACAAACGUUUAUGUGAUUCCGGUGGUUAGUGAGUGGUGGUCAACGACGUCAAUCAAAACAGAACGCGUCCGCAGCCAGGACUUGGACGCGGAUACCUUCGAAGGAGGAUGGUGCGGAACAAGGUUAGGGGAUUAGGGGAAAGUUGGUUUUCAAAAGGAUGAGGCCAGCUUCCUGCCGGAUCUGCAGCUGUUUCACGACCGAAAUGGGUAAGAAGGAAGCUUGGGUGUUUGGUGGCGUUUGUGUUUGAUUUUGUUUGUUUUUGUAGGACGCCGUUUAUGCGGAUGUGAAUUUGCACCGGUUGUAUUCGAUAAAGUUAUUUUUAACGGUGAGAAGAAGGAUCCGACAGAAGAGGGAAACGACGAGAAGCGAUCGGAGGUGGUCAGCGCGGAGUUUGCACUCGGUGCCGGCGGUUUACGACCAUCAGCAGCAUUAUGUGCCGGAAGUGAUGACGGGACAGUGUGGGAUGUCCUGAGGGUCCGCAGUCCAUUUCUCGGUGCGGGACAUGUUUGAUGAGUAUUACAUAAACAUCCGGAAGAACAGUUUGCACCAGUUCUGGAAGAACCGUCCGUACGAAAGCCGCAGGUCCUGGAGCUGUCGUAAUCGGAUUACUUCCAGAGGUUGGAGCGAGAUCCAACGAACCUGAUCAAGAUCAUCUACCUGGAAUACCGAAGAAGUCACCGCUACUCCCGCCCGCAAACGCUCAACUCGCGACGGCGCAGCUUCAUCCGGAUGAACUGGCAACAUCUGUGUCAUUCUCGAAGGAGGACGAAGUGAUCGGGAACUAUCCGUUCAGGCGCUUCACUUCCCCGCCGGAAAACGUCGACUUCCCUACCCGAAUCAACAACCAAUGGCCAACUCCUCCAAGCCUGUCCAGAUGAUGGCCGGCAACGAGAUCGCCCUGUUCUCUACAUCGCUGUCGAGCUCCAAAAUGAAGGGCGCGAUGUUGCUGCCCUACGAAACGACCAUCCGUAAUCUGCUCAGCCUGGGGUCUUCGGACGCGGAAGUUAGCCAACCAUAAGCAUAUGCGUUAAAUACAACAACAAAAACGAAAACAUACUAUUUUAAUAUUAAAAUAUCGAAAUAAAUCCAUCACAUUUUUCGAAAAUCA